AUAUCAAUAAGCGGAGGAAAAGAAACCAACAGGGAUUGCCUCAGUAACGGCGAGUGAAGCGGCAACAGCUCAAAUUUGAAAUCUGGCCCCCUCGGGGGGUCCGAGUUGUAAUUUAUAGAGGAUGCUUCGGGCANGAUCGCGGCCUAACUCGCUUGGAACAGCGGGUCACAGAGGGUGAGAAUCCCGUCCAGGGCCGUGGGUCGCGCCCGGGUGAAGCUCCUUCGACGAGUCGAGUUGUUUGGGAAUGCAGCUCUAAAUGGGUGGUAAAUUUCAUCUAAAGCUAAAUACCGGCCAGAGACCGAUAGCGCACAAGUAGAGUGAUCGAAAGAUGAAAAGCACUUUGAAAAGAGAGUUAAACAGUAUGUGAAAUUGUUGAAAGGGAAGCGCUUGCAAUCAGACUUGCGCGUGACGGUUCCCCCGGCCUCCUCUGGCCGGGCUACUCCGUCAUGUCCAGGCCAACAUCGGUUCGGGUGGUCGGUGAAAGACCCCGGGAAUGUAUCUACCUUCGGGUCGACUUAUAGCCCGGGGUGCAAUGCGGCCUGCCCGGACCGAGGAACGCGCUCCGGCUCGGAUGUUGGCGUAAUGGUUGCAAGCGGCCCGUCUUGAAACACGGACCAAGGAGUCUAACAUCUAUGCGAGUGUUUGGGCGUCAAAACCCCUGCGCGUAAUGAAAGUGAACGGAGGUAAGAACCCCGUCACACGGGUGCAUUAUCGACCGAUCCAGAUGUCUUCGGAUGGAUUUGAGUAAGAGCAUAGCUGUUGGGACCCGAAAGAUGGUGAACUAUGCCUGAAUAGGGUGAAGCCAGAGGAAACUCUGGUGGAGGCUCGCAGCGGUUCUGACGUGCAAAUCGAUCGUCAAAUUUGGGCAUAGGGGCGAAAGACUAAUCGAACCAUUAAGAGGGGACCGGGGGCGCGUGCGGCCGGGUGGUUCUUCAACAGUCCUUCGGGGCUACAUCGUCCUUCUGGCGGGGAUCAGGACCCGCAGCAGCUUCGGCUGUCCACAGACUAGGAGACGGUGGUCGCCUUGACCAAGGGCGAUGAUGAUAUAGUCGGUUCGGUUGUGGUCUCAACCGGGGUCGAACGCUGGUAGCUGGUUCCUGCCGAAGUUUCCCUCAGGAUAGCAGUAACGUUUUCAGUUUUAUGAGGUAAAGCGAAUGAUUAGAGGCCUUGGGGUUGAAACAACCUUAACCUAUUCUCAAACUUUAAAUAUGUAAGAAGUCCUUGUUGCUCAGUUGAACGUGGACAUUUGAAUGCACCGUUACUAGUGGGCCAUUUUUGGUAAGCAGAACUGGCGAUGCGGGAUGAACCGAACGUGAGGUUAAGGUGCCGGAAUGCACGCUCAUCAGACACCACAAAAGGUGUCAAUGCAUCCAGACAGCCGGACGGUGGCCAUGGAAGUCGGAAUCCGCUUAGGAGUGUGUAACAACUCACCGGCCGAAUGCAUUGGCCCUGAAAAUGGAUGGCGCUUAAGCGUGCUACCUAUACCUCGCCGUCAGGGUUGAAAUGAUGCCCUGACGAGUAGGCAGGCGUGGGGGUUUGUGACGAAGCCUCGGGGGUGACCCUGGGUCGAACAACCCCCAGUG
rnacentral:rRNA from 1 species